GUUUGUAAUUGUAUGUGUGUGUAUCUCUGUAGUUAAGUGUGUGUGUAUAUAUACACACACACACACACACACUUAACUACAGAGAUACACACACAAACA
rnacentral:miRNA from 1 species